AUUGAACGCUGGCGGCAGGCCUAACACAUGCAAGUCGAGCGGAUGAAGGGAGCUUUCUCCUGGAUUCAGCGACGGACGGGUGAGUAAUGCCUAGGAAUCUGCCUGGUAGUGGGGGAUAACGUCCGGAAACGGGCGCUAAUACCGCAUACGUCCUGAGGGAGAAAGUGGGGGAUCUUCGGACCUCACGCUAUCAGAUGAGCCUAGGUCGGAUUAGCUAGUUGGUGGGGUAAAGGCCUACCAAGGCGACGAUCCGUAACUGGUCUGAGAGGAUGAUCAGUCACACUGGAACUGAGACACGGUCCAGACUCCUACGGGAGGCAGCAGUGGGGAAUAUUGGACAAUGGGCGAAAGCCUGAUCCAGCAAUGCCGCGUGUGUGAAGAAGGUCUUCGGAUUGUAAAGCACUUUAAGUUGGGAGGAAGGGCAGUAAGUUAAUACCUUGCUGUUUUGACGUUACCAACAGAAUAAGCACCGGCUAACUUCGUG
rnacentral:rRNA from 1 species